rnacentral:rRNA from 1 species
GAUGAACGCUGGCGGCGUGCCUAAUACAUGCCAGUCGAGCGAACGGACGAGAAGCUUGCUUCUCUGAUGUUAGCGGCGGACGGGUGAGUAACACGUGGAUAACCUACCUAUAAGACUGGGAUAACUUCGGGAAACCGGAGCUAAUACCGGAUAAUAUUUUGAACCGCAUGGUUCAAAAGUGAAAGACGGUCUUGCUGUCACUUAUAGAUGGAUCCGCGCUGCAUUAGCUAGUUGGUAAGGUAACGGCUUACCAAGGCAACGAUGCAUAGCCGACCUGAGAGGGUGAUCGGCCACACUGGAACUGAGACACGGUCCAGACUCCUACGGGAGGCAGCAGUAGGGAAUCUUCCGCAAUGGGCGAAAGCCUGACGGAGCAACGCCGCGUGAGUGAUGAAGGUCUUCGGAUCGUAAACUCUGUUAUUAGGGAAGAACAUAUGUGUAAGUAACUGUGCACAUCUUGACGGUACCUAAUCAGAAAGCCACGGCUAACUACGUG